rnacentral:ncRNA from 1 species
CCGACUCUGGAAAGCGAUCCGCCGCGAGCGGCGGGUCCGCCGACGGUGAAAGCACCUCCGCCCUUGACUCAGCGGGCGGGAUGCGAAACUCUCAGGCCCAUGACAGAGGGGGAGUU